rnacentral:rRNA from 1 species
CCUACGGGAGGCAGCAGUGAGGAAUAUUGGUCAAUGGACGGAAGUCUGAACCAGCCAUGCCGCGUGAAGGAAGACGGCCCUAUGAGUUGUAAACUGCUUUUGUACAAGGGUAAACCUGAAUACGUGUAUUCAGCUGUAUGUACUGUACGAAUAAGGAUCGGCUAACUCCGUGCCAGCAGCCGCGGUAAUACGGAGGAUCCAAGCGUUAUCCGGAUUUAUUGGGUUUAAAGGGUGCGUAGGCGGAUGGAUAAGUUAGAGGUGAAAUGUUGGGGCUUAACUCGGGAACUGCCUCUAAUACUGUUGGUCUUGCGAGUAGAUGCGGUAGGCGGAAUGUAUGGUGUAGCGGUGAAAUGCUUAGAGAUCAUACAGAACACCGAUUGCGAAGGCAGCUUACUAAUCUAUAUCUGACGUUGAUGCUCGAAAGCGUGGGUAGCAAACAGGAUUAGAUACCCGUGUAGUC